GGGGAGAGGCUCUUGCAACAACCCUUAUGCGCCCCCACAGCCAUGUUAGGAACAGGAGGAGAACCUCAUCCUAACAUGAGCAAGAUCGAAGGUUCGAUUAUUUAAAGAUCGGAUGGAAGGAGAGGCUCUUGCAACGGCCCUUACGUGCCCCCACAGCCCUGUUAGGAAUAGGAGAAAAAUCUCAUCCUAACAUGAGCUAAAACUGAUUGUGCCGGG
rnacentral:lncRNA from 1 species